rnacentral:rRNA from 1 species
CAGCCAUCAUUUAAAAAGUGCGUAAUAGCUUACCGGUCGAGCACUCCUGCGCCGAUAAUAAACGGGACUAAGCAUGAUACCGAAGCCUCGAAUGUCCGGCACGUGCGCGUGUCGGACGUGGUAGGGGAGCGUCGGACGAACCUGCGAAGGGAGACCGUGAGGACUCCUGGAGGAUGUCCGAGUGAGUAUGCGGGCACGAGUAACGAGAAACGCAGUGAGAAUCUGCGUCGCCGUAAACCCAAGGUUUCCUGGGCAAGGUCAGUCCUCCCAGGGUCAGUCGGAACCUAAGGCGAGGCCGAAAGGCGUAGUCGAUGGAAGACGGGUCAACAUUCCCGUACCGGUCCAUGUGUGUUCGAUGCCGAGGAGGGGUGGAGAAGGCUAGACGGGCCGGGGGCCAGCAGUCCCGGUUCAAGCCCGUAGGGCGAGUCGUAGGUAAAUCCGCGACUCACAUGCCUGAGAGGUGACGACGAGGCCGAUUCUGCGCCGAAGUCGUCGAUGCCAUGCUUCCUAGAAAAUCUUCGCGGCUAAUAUAUGGACCGACCGUACCGCAAACCGACACAGGUGGGUGAGGUGAAUAUCCUCAGGCGCUCGAGAGAACCAUGGUUAAGGAACUCGGCAAAUUAGCUCCGUAACUUCGGGAGAAGGAGUGCCUCCUCGGGACAGAGACCUCGCGUCUCGAAGCUCAGGGGGGCCGCAGUGAAAGGUGAGCUGGAACUGGUUAUCAAAACCACAGGUCUGUGCUAAGGCCAGAAGCCGACGUAUACAGACUGACGCUUGCUCAGUGACGGAAGGUCAAAGUGAGCGGUUAGCCGCAAGGCAAAGCUGCGAACUCAAGCCCCGUUAAACAGCGGCCGUAACUAUGACGGUCCUAAGGUAGCGAAAUUCCUUGUCGGGUAAGUUCCGACCCGCAUGAAUAGCGUAAUCACAGCUCAACUGUCUCAACCAUGGACUCGGUGAAACUGCAGUUGUGGUGAAAAUACCAUGUACCCGCAGCUAGACGGAAAGACCCCGUGAACCUUUACUGUAGCCUAUUACUGUGUUUAGACAUUCCAUGCGUAGGAUAGGUGGGAGACGUCAUACCGACACGUUCCGGCGUGAAGGAAGUCAACGGUGAAAUACCACCCUUGGAGUGUUUGAAUUCUAACAUCGCUCCGUGAAUCCGGGCGAUGGACCGUGGUAGGUGGGCAGUUUGGCUGGGGCGGUCUCCUCCCAAAAGGUAACGGAGGAGCCCAAAGGUGCACUCAGCGCGGUUGGCAAUCGCGCAUCGAGCGUAAAGGUAUAAGUGCGCUUAACUGUGAGACCGAUGGGUCGAACAGAUGCGAAAGCAGGGCUUAGUGAUCCGGCGGAUCCGGAUGGAAGGGACGUCGCUCAUCAGACAAAAGGUACUCCGGGGAUAACAGGCUGAUCUCCUCCAAGAGUCCAUAUCGACGAGGAGGUUUGGCG